rnacentral:lncRNA from 1 species
CUGCAGAAACCCUACAAGCCAGAAGAGAGUGGGGGCCAACAUUCAACAUUCUUAAAAGAAUUUUCAACCCAGUAUCUCAUAUCCAUCUAAACUAAGCUUCGUAAUUGAAGGAGAAAUAAAAUCCCUCACGAAGAAGCAAAUGCUGAGAGAUUUUGUCACCAUCAGGCCUGCCUAACAAGAGCUCCUGAAGGAAGCACUAAACAUGGAAGGAACAACCGGUACCAGCCACUGCAAAAACAUGCCAAAUUGUAAAGACCAUCGACACUAUGAAGAAACUGCAUCAACUAAAGGGCAAAAUAAUCAGCUAGCAUCAUAAUGACAGGAUCAAAGUCACACAUAACAAUAUUAACCUUAAAUGUAAAUGAGCUAAACACCUCAAUUAAAAGACACACACUGGCAAAUUGGAUAGAGUCAAGACCCAUCAGUGUGCUGUGUUCAGGAGACCCAGCUCACAUGCAAAGACACACAUAGGCUCAAAAUAAAGGAAUGGAGGAACAUUUACCAAGCAAAUGGAAAGCAAGAAAAAGCAGGGGUUGCAAUCCUAGUCUCUGAUAAAACAGACUUUAAACCAACGAAGAUCAAGAGACAAAGAAGGGCAUUAUAUAAUGGUAAAGGGAAUCAAUGCAACAAGAAGAGCUAACUAUCCUAAAUAUAUAUGCACCCAAUACAG